rnacentral:sRNA from 1 species
UAUAUCACAACAAACCAGAUCUGUGUCCAGCAGUCCUGAGCCAACUGGGGUAUUCGUGCUCCGGUUGUGUUUCGGUUGUUAGUGCUGGACAGCUCGACGAUUCAUGGAGCCAUCAUGGAAAAAAUGUUAUUUUAUCCUCAAAACAAUGGUGUCAAUUUCCGGUCGACAGAUCUCAGAGAGAUUCUCAGCGGCCCGGUUCUCUUCUUUUGGAAGAAUUAACACUCUGCCUUGAGCUCCCUUUCCGUUUCGGCGGGUUGGUGAAUUCGGUGAGAUGGCCGGGUUCUUUGCUGAGGGCGUCAUAUUCCACCUCCCUUUACCGAUUUCGUCCCUUUUAUUCCCGUUGCUUGGGGAAGGGAUGUGGCCGUCGGCUGAUGAGGUUAGGGAAAAACCAUGACUUGCCAACAUCU